rnacentral:rRNA from 1 species
UACGAAGGGGGCUAGCGUUGUUCGGAAUUACUGGGCGUAAAGCGCGCGCAGGCGGCUAUCCAAGUCAGUGGUGAAAGCCCGGAGCUCAACUCCGGAACUGCCAUUGAAACUGUUUAGCUUGAGUAUGAGAGAGGUGAGUGGAAUUCCCAGUGUAGAGGUGAAAUUCGUAGAUAUUGGGAAGAACACCGGUGGCGAAGGCGGCUCACUGGCCCGGUACUGACGCUGAGGCACGAAAGCGUGGGGAGCAAACAGG